GGCGCGGCCCGGCCGCCACAGACGAGACGCGCAGAGAGCAGGGACACACUUUAUUAGCUACAGGGGCGCCCGAGGGGCAGGGCAGCGGCCCCGGGGGCGGGGAAGCGCUACAGCAGCCUGCGGAGCUCCUCGAAGUUGAGCAGGUUGUUGGCUGUCUCUGACCAGGCCGGGUGCGUCGCCCCAUCCAUCUCGGGAGCCAGGCUGUUGGUGCUGUCCAGAGCGUGGACAGAUGGAUGGUUUUCCAGUUCCUGGUAUAUAUGGGGACUGAGAAGCUGGGCAAUUUCAGGACGCAUGCGGUGCUGAAACACAAAGCAGCUCUGUAACAGUCUUGAGGAAGAAGCACCAUAUUUCCCUGCCAAGAAUCUGUUGUUUCACUGUAAAUACACUGGCCAAAUACAAGACAAGGGUGACUGCAGUAAGAAUGAAGAUGGCAACCCACCCACCAACUAGGCCAGAAAGCAGAAUUAAAGAAGACCAGAGAAUUUUCCUACACUGGGCAAGAUUUCCUCCAGAAUUAGCUAUCCUUCAAGUAAUCAAAAAGUAGCAGCUGCUGGCUCAGACUUUCUUCAAGUAGCACAGGUAAAACACAGACCUUCUGGACAAUGCCAGACCCCUUACAGUAUCAGAAGGCAUACACUAUAUAGUCUUUAUCAAGCCCUCAACUGGAUACUCAGAGCAGCAUUGGACACUAGCAGAAUAAAUUAGCAAA